AAUACGAGGGGUGCUAGCGUUGUCCGGAUUUACUGGGCGUAAAGGGUACGUAGGCGUUUUAAUAAGUUGAAUGUUAAAUAUCUUAGCUUAACUAAGAAAAUGCAUUCAAAACUGUUAAAAUAGAGUUUGAGAGAGGAACGCAGAAUUCAUGGUGGAGCGGUGACAUGCGUAGAUAUCAUGAGGAAAGUCAAAUGCGAAGGCAGCCUUCUGGCUCAAAACUGACGCUGAGGUACGAAAGCGUGGGGAGCCAACAGGAUUAGAUACCCUGGUAGUCCACGCCGUAAACGAUGAGUAUUUGGUGCUGGGGGAUUCGACCCUUUCAGUGCCGUAGCUAACGCGAUAAAUACUCCGCCUGGGGACUACGAUCGCAAGAUUGAAACUCAAAGGAAUUGACGGGGACCCGCACAAGCGGUGGAACAUGUGGUUUAAUUCGAUGAUACGCGAAGAACCUUACCUGGGUUUGACAUGUUAGUGAAAGUUUUCUGAAAAGAAUUCCCUUUAAGAGCUUGCUCUUAAACACUAUCACAGGUGGUGCAUGGCUGUCGUCAGCUCGUGUCGUGAGAUGUUAGGUUAAGUCCUGCAACGAGCGCAACCCCUAUAUUUAGUUGCCAGCACAUAAUGGUGGGGACUCUAGAUAGACUGCCCGGAAUAACCGGGAGGAAGGUGGGGAUGAUGUCAAGUCAGUAUGUCCCUUAUACCCAGGGCUACACACGUGUUACAAUGGAUAGUACAAAAAGUCGCAAUCCCGCGAGGAGGAGCCAAUCUUUAAAACUAUCCCCAGUUCAGAUUGAAGUCUGAAAUUCGACUUCAUGAAGCAGGAAUCGCUAGUAAUCGUAGGUCAGCACACUACGGUGAAUACGUUCCCGGGUCUUGUACACACCGCCCGUCAAGUCAUGGAAGUCUGCAGUACCCGAAGAUGGUAUCCUAACCGCAAGGAGGGAGCUGUUUAAGGUAAGGCAGGU
rnacentral:rRNA from 1 species